rnacentral:rRNA from 1 species
CCCCUAGUAGUGGCGAAUGAAGCGGGAAAAGCUCAAGUUUGAAAUCUGGCAGGCGACUGUCCAGAGUUGUAAGCUGGAGAGGUUUCAUCCGACGCGGUCCGGGCUCAAUUUCCUUGGAACAGGAGGUCAUGGAGGGUGAGAACCCCGUACAUGGCUUGGGUGCCGCAGUCCUAGUGAUGGUUCCUCUAAGAGUCGGGUUGUUUGGGAAUGCAGCUCAAAAUGGGUGGUAAAUUUCAUCUAAAGCUAAAUAUUGGCGAGAGACCGAUAGCAAACAAGUAGAGUGAUCGAAAGAUGAAAAGUACUUUGAAAAGAGAGUGAAACAGUACGUGAAAUUGUUGAAAGGGAAGCGUUUGGCAUCAGCCCAUGAUGGUCAUCGAACAUCCUGGCUUCUGCCUGGUGCACUCGAUGGCCAUUGGGCCAGCGUCGGCUCUGCCAGCUGGAGAAAGGCCUUGGACAAGUGGCUCCUUUUCGGGAGCGUUAUAGCCCAUGGCGUCAUGCAGCUUGGUGGGGCCGAGGUCCGCGGGUUUUCCUAGGACGCUGGCGUAAUGGUUCCAAGCGACCCGUCUUGAAACACGGACCAAGGAGUCUAACAUCUAUGCGAGUGUUUGGGUGUCAAGCCCGACCGCGCAAUGAAAGUGAAUGCAGGCGGGAGCCCCUUGAGGGUGCACCGCCGACCGGUCCAGGGGUUUACCGAAGGAUCUGAGUAAGAGCAUAGCUGUUGGGA